CAGGCCAGCUUCUUGUGUGUCU
rnacentral:siRNA from 1 species